rnacentral:misc_RNA from 1 species
UAAUAAGUGUUUUAUGGCACUUUUUAAAUCCAUAUCCACCUUGUGUGCAAUGUCGGUCGAUCUUCUUUUUUUGAGGAUCGACCAAACAUCAACCUUUAUUUUUUAACUCUUUGUCUGAAAAAUACUAUGAAUAAACUAAUUCAAAAUA